rnacentral:rRNA from 1 species
GACGAACGCUGGCGGCGUGCUUAACACAUGCAAGUCGAACGGGCCCGCUCUCUUUUUUGGGGGUGGGUUGAGUGGCGAACGGGUGAGUAUCACGUGAGUAACCUGCCCCCUGCUCCUGGAUAACUGCUUGAAAGGGCGGCUAAUACGGGGUGUGCCGGCUGGUCCGCAUGGGCCUGGUCGGGAUAGUUUCAUCUUCGGGUGUUUCGGUGGGGGAUGGGCUCGCGGCCUAUCAGCUUGUUGGUGGGGUGAUGGCCCACCAAGGCGGUGGCGGGUAGCCGGCCUGAGGGGGUGGGCGGCCGCACGGGGACUGAGACACGGCCCAGACUCCUGCGGGAGGCAGCAGUGGGGGGUAUUGCACAAUGGGCGGAAGCCUGAUGCAGCGGCGUCGCGUGAGGGAUGGAGGCCUUCGGGUUGUGAACCUCUUUCUCCGGUGGUGAAGGCCCUGUCCGUUGCGGCGGGGUUGACGGUAGCCGGGUAUGAAGCGCCGGCUAACUACGUG